rnacentral:rRNA from 1 species
GGACGGCAGCGGGGUAGUGCUUCACUACUGCCGGCGAGUGGCGAACGGGUGAGUAACAUAUCGGAACGUACCGGGUUUUGGGGGAUAACUGAUCGAAAGAUCAGCUAAUACCGCAUAUUUUCUGAGGAAGAAAGCAGGGGACCAUUUGGCCUUGCGCUAUCCGAGCGGCCGAUAUCUGAUUAGCUUGUUGGCGGGGUAAGGGCCCACCAAGGCGACGAUCAGUAGCGGGUCUGAGAGGACGAUCCGCCACACUGGGACUGAGACACGGCCCAGACUCCUACGGGAGGCAGCAGUNGGGGAAUUUUGGACAAUGGGCGCAACUUGAUCCAGCCAUGCCGCGUGUCUGAAGAAGGCCUUCGGGUUGUAAAGGACUUUUGUCGGGGAAGAAAAGGUCGGGGUUAAUACCCCGGCUGAUGACGGUACCCGAAGAAUAAGCACCGGCUAACUACGUGCCAGCAGCCGCGGUAAUACGUAGGGUGCGAGCGUUAAUCGGAAUUACUGGGCGUAAGGCGGGCGCAGACGGUUACUUAAGCAGGAUGUGAAAUCCCCGGGCUCAACCCGGGAAUUGCGUUCUGAACUGGGUGGCUAGAGUGUGUCAGAGGGAGGUAGAAUUCCACGUGUAGCAGUGAAAUGCGUAGAGAUGUGGAGGAAUACCGAUGGCGAAGGCAGCCUCCUGGGAUAACACUGACGUUCAUGCCCGAAAGCGUGGGUAGCAAACAGGAUUAGAUACCCUGGUAGUCCACGCCCUAAACGAUGUCGAUUAGCUGUUGGGCAGCCUGACUGCUUGGUAGCGAAGUAACGCGU